UAGGGAAUCUUCGGCAAUGGGGGGAACCCUGACCGAGCAACGCCGCGUGAGUGAAGAAGGUUUUCGGAUCGUAAAGCUCUGUUGUUAAGGAAGAACGAGUGUGAGAAUGGAAAGUUCAUACUGUGACGGUACUUAACCAGAAAGGGACGGCUAACUACGUGCCAGCAGCCGCGGUAAUACGUAGGUCCCGAGCGUUGUCCGGAUUUAUUGGGCGUAAAGCGAGCGCAGGCGGUUAGAUAAGUCUGAAGUUAAAGGCAGUGGCUCAACCAUUGUAGGCUUUGGAAACUGUUUAACUUGAGUGCAGAAGGGGAGAGUGGAAUUCCAUUUGUAGCGGUGAAAUGCGUAGAUAUAUGGAGGAACACCGGUGGCGAAAGCGGCUCUCUGGUCUGUAACUGACGCUGAGGCUCGAAAGCGUGGGGAGCGAACAGG
rnacentral:rRNA from 1 species